GGGUUUGCAGUGAUUAUAAAGUAAAUUCCUCGUUCUGAAUGCUAAAUAAAAAAGCAUGAGAGACUUUUAUUUACACCCAUAGAAUCUGAGCAGC